ACAGUCCAUGGAAUCUACUAUUGGGAAUGCUUGUCUGAAGAUUGUGGGGGAAGCUGCACAAAGACAUGGAAAAGAUGUUCACAUUGCUGACCUCUACGUCGUGGCCACCUGGAAGGAUCCACAAGUCAACCUGCUGCGUUGCUUGCCGGUACGUUUUUCGUUGAUUUUUCUCCUGUGUGUGCAUUUUUACUAAUUUGUACCAGGGUUCCCCAUUUGUGGUUCCCCCACAUGUUGGUUCAUGAUCUGAUACCCGUUUUCAUUUGUGACAGUUUUUGCUAACUCUUGUGUUAUUGGUUAUCACCGAUUUCUUUUUGUUGUUUGUUUAAUUUCUUUUGCCCUCUGUGGCCUGGCCUCGGUGGAGUUCUUUGUUACUGCGUACUAGCCAAGAAGUCAUAAUGAGCUGUGUUUUGUUUAAUGUUGUUUAAUUUAGUUCCUUAA